rnacentral:rRNA from 1 species
GACGAGAAAUUGCUGCUAAUACCGGAUGAUGACGUAAGUCCAAAGAUUUAUCGCCCAAGGAUGAGCCCGCGUAGGAUUAGCUAGGUUGGUGAGGUAAAAGGGCUCACCAAGGCGACGAUCCUUAGCUGGUCUGAGAGGAUGAUCAGCCACACUGGGACUGAGACACGGCCCAGACUCCUACGGGAGGCAGCAGUGGGGAAUAUUGGACAAUGGGCGAAAGCCUGAUCCAGCAAUGCCGCGUGAGUGAUGAAGGCCUUAGGUUGUAAAGCUCUUUACCCGGGAUGAUAAUGACAGUACCGGGAGAAUAAGCUCCGGCUAACUCCGUG